rnacentral:tRNA from 1 species
UCCUCAAUAGAUCAGUGGUAGAGCGGUCGGCUGUUAACUAACUGGUCGUAGGUUUGAAUCCUACUUGGGGAG